rnacentral:rRNA from 1 species
GACGAACGCUGGCGGCGUGCUUAACACAUGCAAGUCGUACGGUAAGGCCCUUUCGGGGGUACACGAGUGGCGAACGGGUGAGUAACACGUGAGUAACCUGCCCACAACUUUGGGAUAACGCUAGGAAACUGGUGCUAAUACUGGAUAUGUGCUCCUGCUGCAUGGUGGGGGUUGGAAAGCUCCGGCGGUUGUGGAUGGACUCGCGGCCUAUCAGCUUGUUGGUGGGGUAGUGGCCUACCAAGGCGGCGACGGGUAGCCGGCCUGAGAGGGUGACCGGCCACAUUGGGACUGAGAUACGACCCAGACUCCUACGGGAGGCAGCAGUGGGGAAUAUUGCACAAUGGGCGCAAGCCUGAUGCAGCAACGCCGCGUGCGGGAUGACGGCCUUCGGGUUGUAAACCGCUUUCAGCAGGGACGAAGCUUUUUGUGACGGUACCUGCAGAAGAAGCACCGGCUAACUACGUG